CCACUCAGAAUUCCAGUCCUGGGAGAAAUCUGGAGUACAUUGCUAUUCUUGAUUAGCAAUAUACUCCGGAUUUCUCCCUGGGUUGGAGGCCUUAGUGAGGGAGAGUUUCUUUCCCCACUCAGGCUUCCAGUCCUGGGAGAAAUCUGGAGUAUAUUGCUAUUUCGGAUUUCUCCCUGGGCUGGAGGCCUUAGUGGGGCCUCUCCAGUAUUAUUAUUAUUAUUAUUAUUAUUAUUAUUAUUAUUAUUAUUAUUAUUAUUAUUAUUAUUAACAUUGAGGAUGGGUGGCCAUCUGUCAGGUGUGCUUUGCUGUGCUUUUGGUGCACAAAGGCAGAAGGGGGUUGGACUAAAUGGCCCAAGGGUCUCUUCCAACCCUCUCCAUUAUUUUAUUAUUAUUAGUAACAUUGAGUCUGGGUGGCCAUCUGUCAGGGGUUCCUUGCUGUGCUUUUGGUGCAGAAAGGCAGAAGGGGGUUGGACUAAACGGCCCAAGGGUUUCUUCCAACCCUCUUUUUUAUUAUUAUUAUUAUUAUUAUUAUUAUUAUUAUUAUUAUUAACAUUGAGGCUGUAUUUGUUUCUUUUUUUAACCUCAAAAUAAAAUAUGUGCCAUGUGCAUAGGCAUUUGUUCAUAGUUUUUUUUAAAAAAACUAUAGUCCGGCCCUCCAACGGUCUGAGGGACUGUUAACUGGCCCCCCGUUUAAAAAGUUUGGGGACCCCUGCCCUAGACGAUUCAGGUUCAGGCUAUUUGGCUGACCACAUCCCCUUGUACGGAUCUGCCCAGGCUGUGAGAUCUUCAGGAGUGGUCCUUCUCUUGGUCCCACCUCCAUCUCAAGCUCAGUUGGUGGGAACGAGAGAGCAGGCCUUCUCUGUGGCUGCCCCUUGACUCUGGAACUCCCUGGCCAAGGAAACCAGAAUGGCCCCGUCCCUGCUGUCCUUCUGGCAAUAGGCUAAAACCUUUUUAUUCAUACAGGCUUUUAAAGAAGGUUUUAAAAACCAUGUCAGGGCCUGCUGUGAUUCUAUAUGUUUUUAUGAUGUUAAUCUGAAUUGUCUUAAUACUAAUGAUGUUUAAUGUUGUUUUAAUAUUAAUAUAUUUUAAAUUGUAUGUUAAUGGUUUUGUGUUAAGCUGCUUUGAGUCUCCUGAAGGAGAGAUAAAGCGGGGUAUAAAUUAUUAUUAUUAUUAUUAUUAUUAUUAUUAUUAUUAUUAUUAUUAUUAUUGUAUGACACAGCAAACAAGAUAGAUAUGCUGGAUUUCGUUUCACAAAAUCACAAGUCGAACACUUCCCAAGUGUCUAGGACUGUGUGAUGUAUUUUCGGAUGAUGCGUGCAGAUCCCAGUAGGAUGGCCUUUUGCAGUUGACAGAUCAUAAUUUUGUCAAUGUCUAUUGUUUCCAAAUGCCGGCUGAGAUCUUUUGGCACGGCACCCAGUGUGCCCAUCACCACUGGGACCACCUGCACUGGUUUCUGCCAGAGUCUUUGAAGUUCAAUCAUGAGGUCCUGAUAGCGGCUGAGCUUUUCCUGUUGUUUUUCAUCAAUGCAACUGUCACCUGGGAUGGCAAAUAUCAAUGAUCCAAACCUUUUUCUUUUCCACAACUGUGAUGUCUGGUGUGUUGUGUUCCAGAACUUUGUCAGUCUGGAUUCGGAAGUCCCACAGUAUCUUUGCGUGCUCAUUUUCCAGUACUUUUGCAGGUUUGUGAUCCCACCAGUUUUUUGCUGCUGGGAGGUGGUACUUGAGGCAUAAGUUCCAAUGAAUCAUUUGGGCCACAUAGUUGUGCCUCUGUUUGUAGUCUGUCUGUGCGAUUUUCUUACAGCAGCUGAGGAUAUGAUCAAUGGUUUCGUUGGUUUCCUUGCAGAGUCUGCAUUUUGGGUCAUCAGCUGAUUUUUCGAUUUUGGCCUUAAUUGCAUUUGUUCUGAUGGCUUGCUCCUGGGCUGCAAGAAUCAGGCCUUCUGUCUCCUUCUUCAGGGUCCCAUUCUUGAGCCAUAGCCAGGUCUUCUCCUUAUUAUUAUUAUUAUUAUUAUUAUUAUUAUCCUGUUCAAAGCAGAUAAUCUGAAUUUUAUAUGGCAGUAUAGAAGGGGCCAAACAGAAGUCAGAUUUUAAGAGAGCUGUGUUCAGGAAAUGUAGGGAAAUACUGAGUUGUGAUCCCAUGGAUAGGAAUGUUUAAAGAGAAGAGAGUUAAUGAUGGAGGGGAGUUUCUUAAAAGCUAGAUCUGAAGGCAUAAAUGCAAACAGUGCCAACAAGGAGAAAAAAACAAAAGAAGCUUAAAGAAACCAGAAUGGGUGUCCAAAGAACUUUCAAUUGAGCUAAGAUUUAAAAAGGGCAUGUACAAGAAAUUGAAAAAGUGGGGAGGGGUCACCAAAGAGGAAUUCAAACAAAUAACCAACAGAUGUAGGAAAAAGGUUUGAAGGCUAAAGUGUAAAAUGAGCUCAAGCUUGCCAGAGAUUAAAAACAAUAAAAGAGGUUCUUUGGUUAUCUCAGUAGAAAAAAGUACAAGGGGUAGGGAAAAGGCAGAAUUGUUCAACACCUUCUUUGCCUCAGUCUUCUCCCAAAAGGAGAUCAGUAUUCAAACAGAGCAAUGUGGAGCUGAUAAGGUAAUAAGAGAAAUGCAACCCAAAAAUGGGUAAAGAAGUCUAGGAAUAGCUGGCUACUCUAAAUGAAUUCACGUCUCCAUGGCCAAAUGAACUACAUCCAAGAGUACUGAAGGAACUAGCAGAAGUAAUUUUAGAACCACUAGCAAUAAUCUUUGAGAAUUCCUGGAGAACAGGAGAAGUCCCAGCAGAUUGGAGGAGGCCAAAUGUGGUCCCUAUCUCCAAGAAGGGGAAAAAGAGGACCCAAAUAAUUACUGUCCGGUCAGCCUGACAUCAAUACUAGGAAAGAUUCUGGAGCAGAUUGUUAAGAAAACAGUCUGUAAUCACUUAAAAAAGAAUGUUGUGAUUACUAAAAGUCAGCAUGGAUUUCUCAAAAACAAGUCAUGCCAGACUAAUCUUAUCUCUUUUUUCAAUGUGGUUAUAAGCUUGGUAGAUGCAGGAAAUGCUGUGGAUGUAGCAUAUCUUGAUUUCAGAAAGGCCAUUUACAUGAUCUUCUUACAAACAAACUACAGUAGAGUCUCACUUAUCCAAGCCUUACUUAUCCAAAUUUCUGGAUUAUCCAAGCCAUUUUUGUAGUCAAUGUUUUCAAUAUAUCAUGAUAUUUUGGUGCUAAAUUCGUAAAUACAAUAAUUACAACAUAACGUUAUUGCAUAUUGAACUGCUUUUUCUGUCAAAUUUGUUGUAAAACAUGAUGUUUUGGUGCUUAAUUUGUAAAAUCAUAACCUAAUUUGAUGUUUAAUAGGCUUUUCCUUAAUCCCUCCUUAUUAUCCAAGAUAUUCGCUUAUCCAAGCAUCUACCAGCCCGUUUAGCUUGGAUAAGUGAUACUCUUCUGUAGUAAAAUGUGGAUUACAUAAUGCUACCAUUUGUAAUUGGUUUGUAACCAAACCCAAAGGUUGCUCAGCAAUGGUUCAUUUUCAUCCUGGAAUGAAGUGACUAUUGGGGUUCCACAAGGUUCUAUCCUUGGCCCAGUGCUGUUCAACAUCUUUAUUAAUGACUUGAAUGAAGGUUUAGAGGGCGUACUUAUCAAGUUUGUAGAUGACACUAAAUUGUGAGGGAUAGCUAAUACUCCAGAAAACAGGAUCAUAAUUCAAAAUGACCUCAACCAAUUAAAGUGCUGGGCCAAAACUAAAAAAAUGAAUUUCAACAAAAAGUUUAGGAUCCUUCACUUAGGCCAAAAAAAAAAAAAAUGCCUGGCUCAACAACAGUACAUGUGAAAAAGAUCUUGGAGUAUUAAUGGGCAACAAGUUGAACAUGAGCAAACAAUGUGAUGCUACAGCUAAAAAAUCAAUGAGAUUUUGGGCUGCAUCAAAAGGAGUAUAGUGUCUAGAUCAGGUAUGCACAAAGUAAGGAUGCCCCUCUCCUGGGCUCCUCAUUUUCCCUGUCCUCUCAGCGUAAGGACGUGGCAGCCCACUACAUUCUUAUGCUGAAAUGACAAGGGAGGAAGAAGGCUUUUAGCUGCCGCAUGUCUCACCUUCCUCCUGGCAUAAGGACGGGGUGAGUAGCCCCGUCUUUAUGACAGGAGUUAGGCUGGAGGAUGACCUAGCCACGCCUCCUCUCCCUCCAAAAAGGACAGGGGAGGAAGACACAUGGCAGCUGAGAACCACCAUGUGUCUUGCCCUUCUCCUGGCAUAAGGAUGGGCUGAGCAACCUCAUGCUUAUACUGGAAAGACAGUUGGAUGACGUCCUGUCCCAGUCCCCUUCCUAACUGUAUGAGCUGUUAAACAGUGGAACUCUCUGUCUUGGAGUGUGGUGGAAGCUCCUUCUUUGGAGGCUUUUAAACAGAGGCUGGAUGGCCAUCUGACAGGGGUGCUUUGAUUGUGCUCUUCCUGCAUGGCAAGAGGUUGGUCUAGAUGGCUCAUGUGGUCUCUUCCAGCUAUAUUAUUCUAUGAUUCUAUAAAUAAGAUGACCACAAUACCAUGGAAAGCAUUCUUUCUGCAAUAGAAUGUGUGACAAAAUGUUCAUUUCAAUUUUCUCUUCUGUUUUCCUUUCUUUUGCUUUCAGUGACUCGCAAUAUGGUCUCUUUUUCCUUGUAAUUUUACUUUAAAUUAGUGAUGAGCAGAGUUUCUAGGUAUUACUGCAGUUCCUUGAAAUAUUCCUCAUUGCCUAUGUUGGCUAUGACUGAUGGGUGCUGCAGUCCAACAGCACCUGGCAGGCUAUACCUUGCCAAUCCUUAAACAGGAAUGGCACCCGAGCAGCUCAAGGAUGAGAAAGGAUGUAAAUGGCAAUCUGGUGCUGAAUGUAGAAUUUAUUGCAAAUGAGAAUUGGGCCUUUAUAUCUUUAAAAAAAAAAUCUCAAGGCCACAGUAUGAAUAAAGUGUGGUAGGUAUUAAAAACAUGAAGUGGAAAUGAGACAAACACAUAUUUGAUAGCAAACCUGCCUUACACCAGAGAGCUGUGAUUGAUGACCACAGCUUCCUUUUGAUGCGCUUACAAAUCUGCCACCACCCAUGUAUUAGGUAAGCUGAUUCUCUGAACUCCCAGUGUUUUUAAACAAUUCAUUCAGUUUAUUCUCAAGCUCUGGAAAUAUUUUCCUGUAGCUUUCUUGCGAUACUGCUCAUUUUCUCUUCAUUUCAGUAACUGCCAUUUCAUCAGCUACACAUACUGAAUUCUUUAAAAGUUUCUUCCCAGACUCAGAGCAGGAAAGUAAAGAGUAUGACAUCAAGCAUGUUAAAUAUACCUGCUUUUUUAAAAAAUAUACAUCUUCCUUCAAAAUUUGAUAAAACAGCAAUAUGAUAAGAAUGAGAAGAUUCUUAAGUUAUCACUCGGGGUCUUGCUGACAGAGAGUCUGAGCCUGUGUUACAAGCAGAGAUGUUGUAGCGAAGCUUAACAUUAGUCGUUUUUACUAACACAACAUUAAUGACUUUCAGUCAUUAUUGACUUGGGCUUUGUUUGUAGUGGCAGACCUACAGGUGAAAGGCUCCACAUCUCAUUUUCAGUCCCUUGAGAGAUCUACUCCUCCACAAUUUAAUUUGAUGGAAUGCAAUUAUUGGCCAGUUGAUUUUCAUUGAUUGUGCUAUGGGCCAUAAACAUUAUAACGCUCCUGUAGCUGCCAACCGCCUAGUCCUUUGGGAUGCUUCCUGGUCAGAAUCCCAAACAGCCAAGCAGUCAUUUGUACACAUGGCAUCGUCCUGGAAAAUGGUUCUCUGUGCAAUUAUGUAAGAGUUUAAUAUGUGUGCUGACAUGCCAGCUAGUAAAGGAGGGAAGGCCCAAAUCCAGAGGCAAAAGAAACACUGUCCAUUUGUAUCAACUUGUUGCAAAAAAGUUUUCUCUGACAUGUACAAUAUCAAAAGUAUAGCUUCAUUCAAACAGAGAGUCAUUUUGCAUCAUCAUCAACAUCUGUAGCAGCAUAAUUCCACUUUUUCCCAAGUUUGGGACAUAAGACAGUUUACAAAAGUUUAAACAAACACACCUCAAAAUUUUCAUCAUACAAAAAAUAAAAGUAUAACUAAACUGCGGUCUUUUCUUUCUCCCUCCCCCCAUUUUUUCUCUUGGAGUCUUGUUUUUAGCCUGUUCUUGGGGUUAUUUGGGGUGCUGAUUCAGAAAAUUGCAUUGGAUAGACCACAUCAGCUCUAGCUUCUUAGAUACGGGUAUCAUGAUUUUCUGUUUGCAAGCAGAUGAGCAGUUGGUAUAUGGUUUGUCUUUCUGUGCAGGAAUCAGCAUUUUCUUUGUAGAAAGUAGCAUGGACUAAAGAAGUAUGAAGAGCCUGCUGUUCUAUUCUGGAUUUAAAAAUAAAAUAAAACAAAACAUAAUUUAUGAUCUCUUUAAUCUGAACAGAGGGGCAAUGUGAUGCUUGAUUAAUGGACAGUCCUGCUUGGGAGUAUGAUGUGGCCCACUCAGCUAAAUCUUCUGCUCACACCUUUUAGGGUUUUUAAAGCACAUGUACUAGCAGCUUGAGCAAACUAUAUCUAAAUUACUGAGUAAAAAUAAAAGCUUUCCCACUGUCCUCCCCCACACCUCUGGAAAUAUAACAUAAUUCUUUAUUGGCUUGGCUCCUUUUUCUAGAAACGAUUCCAUUUCCAAGCCUGGUCUUCCUUUAUUGACAGUCUUGGCAAUGAGAAUGAAAGAGGCAAUUGAGGCAGCAGCUGCUCUGGUGAGGUUAACUGUCCACCAGGAACUGGGAUCCCUUGUUGAUGCUGAUAUGUGAGCAACACUGUCACACCAUUCUUAAGAAUCAGAUUGAUGCCCAAGUCCCUGGGGAAAUUCGCUGCUAACAGUGUUUGACAUAGUGACCUAUUAAGGGUUUGCUUAGGGCACUUUUCUCUUUCUUUAAAGAUAUUUAGCUCCAUGUAGCAUGGGACAGGUUGUUAAGUGCAAUUAGGGAGCUGAAAUGGAAUCUACUCUCAUUGGCAAAGUUGCCAUUCCUAAAGGCUGACAAAACAUUUAGGCUCUGUCAUCUUAACCUUAACGGUGGAAGAUGUUCUUCACGUAAAUGAUACUUGACUGCUUAUAUACAGUCUGACAAGAAUUGCCAUAGCAUUGCAGUCCAUCAUGAUGACAGCAAAGACCAAUUUUUGUUGAAAAUCCUACUCAUGUGCUUUCUCAAUGUUUUGGCAAUGGGAAGGGAAGUUCAGCUGUCAGUAGUAUUCCAUGAGCAGAAAAAUUAGAACUUCCCUGAAGGUGAAUAUUUCUUGGGCAGGAGCAUUGUGCAGAUCUUUUAUGUGUACUACAUAAUUAUUUAAGCUGUGGAUAGAUCCAUGGGAUCCCACAUUGCAGGCAAUUUCUGAAGAUAUGUCAGCCACCAAAAAACUUCGGUAGCUAAAUGCUUUCAUGACUGGGAUCACUGGGUUGUUGUGCAUUUCCUGGGCUGUAUGGCAAUGUUCCAGAAGCGUUCUCUCUUGACGUUUCACCCACAUCUAUGACAGGCAUCCUCAGAGGUUGUGAGGUAUAUUGGAACACAAAGCAAGGGAAGUUUAUAUAUCUGAGGAAGGUUCAGGGUGGGGGAAAGGACUCUUGUCUGUUGGAGGCCAGUGUGAAUGUUGUAAUUAAUCACCUUGAUUAGCAUUAAUAGCCUUGCAAGCUUCAUUCCUGCCCGGGGGAAUCCUUCGUUUGGAGGUGUUAGUUGCCCCUGAUUGAUUAAAUCAGUGGGCCUAUGCUUCUGUUCUAUGGAAAUGACAUGGCAAAAUGGGAUUGGGACUGAUACCAUAGUAGAUGUUUUACCCUUUUUAUUAGAAAGUUGUUAAAUUGGUGCACGCUGCUGUGUACAAAGAUUCAGUUUUAUGUAGGUACAGAAAGCUAUUUGUGAUAAAGUCUUAAUGAUAAAGCAAUCCAAUAGUUACAUUGUAUUUUGAUAAUUUAGAUAGGCAUAUUUAAUAUGUAAGUGUGUUUUAAGUGAUACAUCUUAAUUUCAGACCAUCACUUCAUGUUUAUGUAUCACUGUUUGCAAUAUUGCAGUGGGGAUCUGGUGUGGUAGUAUAUACCAUACCAGAUCACCACUGCAGUAUUGCAAACAGUUAUAGAUAUAGACAUGAAACACAUUUAAAACACACACUUAAAACACAUUUAAAUAUUAAAUAUCUGACUUUCGGAAAUCUUAGGCCCAAACCAUCAGGGUUUUCAUGGUCAGAUUGUGUUGUCACCAUUGUUUUCCUCUGAGGCUGAGAAGGAAAGAUGGGAGAGAAGGGGGGAGAGGAGAGAAAGAGAGGAAUUACAAAAAGAAAGGGAGAGAGAAGGAGAGGCGGCGUCAGGGAGGGAGAGAGAAAGAAGGAAGGAAGAAGAGAAGGUCACAAGAAAAAGAGAAGAAGAGAGGAAGAAAGAAGGAAAGAUUAAAAACAAAAGGAAAGAAGGAGAGAGGAGGAAGAAAAGAAGAGAGGUAAAAGGGAGAGAAAGAGGAAAGAAAUAAAGGGAAGAGAGGAAGGGGCACGAGAGAGAGAAAAAGGAAAGGAGAGGAAGAAAAAAGCAAGCGAGAAGGAGGGUUAGCAAGAGAAAGGGAAAAAGAAAAGGAAGGAGAGGAAGAAAGAAGGAGAGAUAAAAAAGGAGAAGGGGAGAGAGAAAAAGAAAAUGAGGGACGGAUAGAAAAAAGGGAAAGAGCAGGAGAGGGAGGAAAGAAGGGUAAGAGAAAGAAAGAGAAAAGGACAGAUAGAAAGGGAGGUGAAAAAGGCAAGGAGAUAGAAGAGUAAGGGAAUUAUCAAUAGAAAAGGGAAGGAUAGAAGAACAGAUGAGAAGGGAGGGAGAGAAGGGGUAGAAAGAAUGGAAAGGAAAGGAGGUGGGAGGAAGACAGAAAGAAAGGAUUGAAAAUAGAAGGAGAAAGGAGGGGAAAGAGGGAGGCAAGAGAAAGAAAAGGGGAAAGAGAAGGAAAGGAGGAGAAAGAAGAGAAGAGAAAGAAGGAGGAGAAAAGAAAGGAAUAUUAAAAAAGAGGAGAAAGGGAGAGAAAAAAGAGGGUGAAAGAGAGAAGCAAGGAAGGAAGGAAGGAAGGAAGGAAGGAAGGAAGGAAGGAAGAGGGGGAGAAAGAGAGAAAGAAAACAAAAGGGAUAAAACAAAAGAAGGAGAGGGGAGAAAGGGCAAGAAAGAAAAAGAGAAGGAAAAGGGGAGAAAAGGAAAGGGGGAGAAAGAGGGUGGAGGGCACACACACCUCUGCCUCCAAACUCCACCCCAUGACUCUUCUCAGCCCUACCCCUCCAGAGAGGAAGAGGAGGAGGAGGAGCCCCUUUUCGGACCCAAAGGAGGCGAAGCGGUGACCCCCGUGGGCAGUUGUUUGACCCCCAAAGGGGGUCCCACAAGUUGAGAACCACUGUUCUGCGACCCACAGGUUGAGAACCUCUGUUCUAGAGCUUCUAUUUUCAAAUGUGAUUGCCCUUUCUGUUGCGUGGGCAUCAUUAACCAUUAAUUGGUUCUGAGGUUUUUUAUCAUUGAGAGGUAAAAUAAAAUCUAGCUAGAUAUGAAGUCUGCAGUAACUUUUACAUAUAAAUAAUACAAAAUUUUAAAAAAUGUAUUAGAUAAUGUCCUUGGAAUGUUUUUAAUGGAUAAAGCUAUUACUGCAAACAGCCUGGGAAUUCCUCUCUCCACCUAUAUUUUCAAGAGCAAACAAGUUCCUUUAUAAUGUAGUUUUCCUUUCCCCAAAUCAGAUAGUUUGUUCAAACAACUAUAGGGAAAUGUAUGCUUGGUACUAGUUUUUCCUCUUUGAUCCUCUUUUCUUGCUUGCUUUCUCUUUAAGAACUGAUUUGGUGUGGGAUAAGCUGCUGCUAGCCUCUGUAGAUUUGUUGCACACAUUUGCUCAGUAAUCUUCAUACUUGCUGUUCUUCUCUCUGUUAUGUGAUUGAUGGUAUAUCUUACAGUUGAAGUCUAAAAGCAGCCUAAAAAUAAAUGGCAAAGUGAUCGACUAUCUGCAGUAGGAUUCUGCUUGAAGAGUUAAAGUAAUUUUAAAAGUAAAAUUGAAAUUGCUUAAUAGCUAUUGUUUGUCCUUGAUGCUGAGAGAUGUGUUUAGGUAUAUAGUUUGGAGAUUUAUAUCUGAAAGAAGGAGGUCACCUGCUGUGUACCUGAAAUAACUGACGGGCCUCUUUAGUGGGUUUCUACAAAAUGCUCUUCUCUCUUGCAGUUCUUUUUGGUCUGCUGUACAUUGCAACCCACCUCUGCAGCCAUAUUCCUUCUAUUUUUUCCUUUCUAUCAUCUCUCUACAUCCCAUGUUAUGGUUGAGCCUUAUGGCUCCAAUACUGGGAGACGUGGUCGUAAGACUCCUCGAGAGUCAGACUCUCUUGAGGAGCGAGAGAGGAAACGGCUGCGGGAUAUCUUUGCAGAACCAUCUGACGAAGACUCCUUUGAGGGUUUCACUGAGAGAAUGGAGGAAGAGGUGGUUAGCUCAGAGGAGGAUGACAUGGAAUGGACUCGUGUGAGAGAGGAUUUAGGGGUGUCCUGGUAAUGAUAGCAUGGGAAGCGACUGGUGGGUUGCAGGAUCGGACCCGUGGACGAGUUGGAGGGAUGGGACGGGAUCCACAGCUGGGGAUGCUGUGGGGCGUAGUCAAAGAUGUUUUAGUUCUGAUGAGGAUGAUGAUGAUGAGGCACCUGGAAUUAGGGUUACACCUGAUAGCGAUGAGGAGUUGUAACUGGCAUAAAAUGGGGUCUUGAAUCCAGGGCUAAUUGCGUUGGGCAAGGUAAUCUGGACGGACGCUUGGGAUCUUGUUUGGGAAAUUCCUGAAGACGGGUGUGUUUCGUUUGCUGAAUACCUUGGACCUCCGUCGUCUUCUUGACGGACAUUGUUUACCUACUCGGAAUUGACGCUGGACUGGCUGACUGACUACGACCUGGGACUAUCCUUUCUUGACUAUCGUUGGAAUUCGUGGAAUCUAAGACGCCUGCACCUGGUAAUCGACCUCAGACCGGAUUGGGACCCCGCUGACGCUGCAACCCUUGAUUGAUGUGUUUGGACCCGGAGUUCGCCCGCUGCACGGAGGAGUAACAACUUAGUUGCUCAACCACAGCUGUUGAGUAGCAGAGAGGAAUCUGCUGCCAGUGUUUAUGUUCUAUUGAAUCUUUGUUUACUAGCUUUUGUUUGUUUAUAGUCUCAGGCUGAAGUAAGCAUUUUUGGUUUAACUCGGAUUAAACUCCUGUUUAAUCCGGUUUAUCUUUUGAACCAUUUUUGUGUGACUUUUCUUAUUGAAGGCGAGUGUUUGCCUAGCUCUUUGUUUUUUACGAGCAUUUUUGGUUCUGUAUCCUUAAUAAACUGUGUUGAAUCUUAUCUACUGGCGUUCUGUCCUUGACAUCCCAUUUGCAAAUUUCAUAGUUUGGAUAUUUGUGUCUCUGGUAAUAAUAAUAAUAAUAACAAUAAUAAUAAUAGAAAAAACUUUAUUUGUAUUCCGCCCUAUCUCCCCAAGGGGACUCAGGACGGAUUCCAACAUACAAUGGCAAACAUUCAAUGCCUCCGUAAACAAACAAAUGCUGACAUAAAAAUCCCAGAGAAACCCCGCAUAUUAAAAUAACAUUAAAACCUAACAUCAAUUUAAAGUCUAACAUCAGUAAAUUAAACCUAACAUCAAUAAAUUAAACUACAUGUAGUCAAACAAAAUUAUAUAAAAACAUCAAAUACAAACAAACAUCCACAUUAAUUUACAACAGCCAACUAGAGUUCACAGUGUGGGUUGGUUAGGUGGUCAAAUGAUGACCAUUGGACUGGAGUGGACUAGGAAGGUCCAAAUACAAUACAGUUCUCAGCCAAGGGUCCGGUAGUGAUCUCUCUUUAUCUAAUCCUCCUCCUCUCCAUAUGCUAGUGAGCAUAAAUAGGUCUUCAGUUGUUUUUUGAAGGAGAGGAGGGAAGAGGCCAGCUUUAUUGGUACCUGUGAUGACUCAUGGGCCUUGUAGUCCUGUUCCUAGUACUAUUGUGGCAGACGAAGAGGAAAACAUGGGAUUUUCGCCGGUUCAGCAAGAACCGGAGCCUCUUCACCUGCAGGAUGUUGAUGUUUGUCCACAAGAAUUCAGCCAAACAGGCCUUGGGCAGAACUCCCCCCCGUUUUCCAGGAGGGAAAAUUAUUCUAAAGAUAGGGGAGCCAGGGAGGCUAAUCGCAGAAGCCUGAGAAUCGCUGCCAAACAAAUGGCUGAUUAGGCCUGCUUCCCUUGGGAAAUUCUAAGGAGUCAUGCAUCUGGACAGAGUUGGGUUUCGCUUCUCGUUCUCUAGGGAAAGUGUUCUGUUGGUGGGAAAACGAGACCCAAUAUAGGUGCUUAGCGCGAGGGAUUCUUUGCGGAGUCAAUUGAUCAGCUUGAGGAGAGAGAUCGUGUGUGGACUUCGUAAUCCCAGUUCCUUGCUUCCCGGAUCAAGUUUCAAGCCUUGCCUUGUCUCACGUUCCUACCACGGACUAUGUUUCAUGCUUCAUGUUCGUCUGGCCUCCAGUCAAGGAUCUAGUCGAGAAUCAAGUUUAUUCCAGCCUUAUUGUCAAGCUUCAUUGGACUUUAAAGACUCUGUUAUUUCCCCACACUAUUGCUUGGCAAAGUGUGUGUUUUGGUCAAGUGGAUUAAAACUUUGAACUCUAAUAUCUUAUAUUGGACAAUACAUUUCUGGACUAUAUUUGACCUUAUCUGAAAGGUCUGCUUCUGAACUAUAUUCUUCACUUGUUUUUAUUGAUUUUAUAUAUUUCUUUAAUAAAGAUAUUAGAUAGAUUCUGGCCUCUGUGUAAGGUUUUUGGUGCUCUGCAGCCUGGGUACUGACAGUACCACUACUACUGGUAAUUGCUAUCAUAAAAUUACAGAAUGGUUGAAUCAGAGCAUCAGUGGUAACUCUAAGGGGCAUCUAUUCCAACCCCCUGCCAUGCAGAAAUGCACGACUAAAGCAAUCCCAAUAGGUGGCCAUCUAGGUGGCCUAUUUUAAAAUAGGUGGCAAAUUUUAAAAAUUUACUAAAAGAAGGAGAGUCACAUUCUGAGGCAGUCUGUUCUUCCUUAGAGCAGCUCUGCAAUGAAGAAGUUAUUUCAGAAAGAAUUUUUUUAUCUAUUGGUUUGUGCCCUAGGAAUAGCAGAAAACAGGUUUUCUCCAUCUUUCACAUGACAUUUCUUCAGAUAUUUAAAGAUGGCUAUCUUAUCACCUCUCAGUCUUCUCCGAGUUAAACCCCAGAUGCCAUUAUAUAUGAACUCCCAUCAACCCAAACUACAAGAUUAGUGAACAGAAAUGAGUGGUAUUGCAGUUCAACAUUUUGAGAAUUAAUUUGUUGGGCUUACUAUGAAUUAAUAUAUUAUGAGAAGAGUAUAAUUAUACCUAAAUGUGUACAAUUACCAGCAACUCCAACAUGUUAUAAAGUGAGGAUCAAGGGAAAUGCCUGUUGGCCUGCACCUCACAAGCUUGUGAUGGGUUACAUGCAAUCUUCUCGUGGCUGGGGUGGUAUGGCGGACAAUAUAGAAAAAGUACUUAUUGUUGAACACUUCCAUAAGGGCAAGAAUACAUUUUUAAAAUUUUAUAGCAACAACUGCUACCAAACAAUGCCAUGCACACCCAGAGAAAAGAAUGGAGUGUUUGAUCACAAAUUCUACUGAAUUGCAGGCCCUAAAGUUCAUUAUGUACAUAGUAACAUCGUUGAAUACCAAAACAAUAUUUUGCAGGAUAAGGUAGUUCCAUCAUGCUAUUUUUCUCUCUGCUGUUUGCUCUAUGCUUGAAAUUACUUUUUAAAAUAAAUGUUCCAAUUGAUUUUUAUGUGAAUGAAGAUAAAUAAGGUUGAAAUGAAGCUAAAAUAAUAGAAAAUAGAAGAUAUUAGUCAUUUGGGCUACUUGCCUGUCAAUAUGUUGCUUGAUUUGGUUCAUUAGUUAAGAAAAUGGGGGUUUAUACUGCAGUAGUUUGUAGAAAUUUGAGAGAAAGGGACUGAGGGGAAAAGAAUAAAAUCCUUGAUUUCUGAACUCAGUUAACAUGUGUUUGGUAAGCUUAAGUACCAUAUACUAAUGAUGGUAUUUUGUUCAUGUUAGUUUAUUCUUUUCUUGUAGGUAAACUUUCAACAUUUAUGUUGACAAUUGGAGGAGGAAAAUUCACAUGGAGAUAAAUGCUUGGUAGAGAUCAUUAUGCUUUACUUGUAUGAGACUCCAGAUUCAAUCUUAACAUGGUUAACUGAUGUGUACAGUUGAGCAUGUCUAUGGAUUCUGCAUCCACAGAUUCAGCCUUCCAUGGCUUGAAAAUAUUUCUAAAAGCAAAGCCUGAUUUGGCUAUUUUAUGUGAAGGAUAGCUUUUUUACUAUGCCAUUGUUCGUAAUGGGACUUCAGCAUCCACAGAUUUUAAUAUUCAUAUGGAGUCCUGGCACCAAACUGCAAUGGAUGCCAAGGGUACACUUCAUUGGGAAACAGAGCUGUGAGGAGGAAGUUUCCUUUGAGGACUUAAAGAAAGACUGCCUGGCUUUCAAAUGGUCUGAACCAAUCAGAUGUGUUUUGACCAGAUAUAGAAAUGUAUUUGAUUUCAAACAAGAUCUGUUUGAGAAAUCUGUAUAUGUUGAGCUGUUCAUUAAUUUUGGUGCUGCUUUAUGAUAAAUAGUGACCAUGAGGUCAUGAGUUCGAGGCCAGCUCGGAGCCUGCAUUUGUCUUUGUCUUUGUUCUAUGUUAAGGCAUUGAAUGUUUGCUUUAUAUGUGUAAUGUGAUCUGCCCUGAGUCCCCUUCGGGGUGAGAAGGGCGGAAUAUAAAUACGGUAAAUAAAUAAAUAAAUAAAUAAUAGUGAUGCCCUGUCCUCUAGAACUGAUGGAAAGAACAAGGAUUCCCUCACUCUUUUUGUCAUCUGGUUGAAGGAUUUAGUUCAUAUGAGCAUUUUCUAGUGUGAUUUAUUUAAUAUUUUUUUAUUUCAGUCACAAAUAUUUAUCUACCUGUUUCUUUUAUUUAUUACCUUUCCCCCUUGGUUUUUGCCUUAAAAACACCCUCAGAACAACCUUCUUAGUUUUCUCACUCCUAUUCUGUCUUUGCAGCAACAUUGUGUAAUAGAGAGGACUGAGGGAUACUGCAACAGAGCUUUUUGUUGCUGCUGUUGGACUACUUGUCCCAGAACAUCCCAGUCAGCCAGGCUGUGGGUCACCUUAUUAGAAGGUAGAAAAGCUAAAUUUGCACAAGUACUUCUCCAGGUUUUGAGUGCAACUGGCCCAAUGUAAGCUUUAUGUUUUGUAACUUUACAUUGGAUUAUAACUCGAGAAAACAGAGCUCAAAUCUCCAUUUGACCAUGAAAACCAUGGUUGACCUUAAGCAAAUGGCACUCUCUCGGCCUCAAAGGAAGGCAAUGGCAAACCACUUCUUAACAAUUUUUGCCAAGAAAACCCUGUGAUGGGUCACCAUAGAUUUGAAAUAGCUGAAAGGGAGCUUCUGGGGUGAGCACUGGUCCUCCUGGCACUGUAGCAACAACUGCAAAGCAGAGUUAGACCAGUGGUUCUCAACCACUGGUCUAUGGGUCCCCUGCUGUUUUUGGCCUUCAACUCCCAGAAAUCCUAACAGCUGGUAAACUGACUGGGAUUUCUGGGAGUUGUAGGCCAAAACACCUGGAGACCCACAGGUUGAGAUCCACUGAGUUAGACUAUGUUGACUAAAAUUGCCCCUGCAUCAGUGUCACAGGUAGACUAAAAUGUCUUUUGGAGAUAUCUGCUGAAAUUAUAGGGUUUCUAAUAUAUUUGUGGCAGUUUGUUUGGCUGCCAGAAUGGGAGUCAGCAUUUACUGCCUGAAACAAUUGUUCUACUUUUUUAAAGGUAGAGCAACCUUCUUGAUUUUACUUUCACUUAAAUGGGUUUUCAAUUGAAACAGAAGCUGGGUUAUUUUAUAGGGUAAUAUGAAGUAUGUUCCAAGUCAAAUAAUGGAUUUUACUCAAAAUGGCAGUACACGGACUCAAAUUGAUCUGCCAGCUAAUGAUUGCUGGUCCAUGUUGAAUUUCUAACAAAGUAAGUGAUAGUUGUAGCCAAUUGACUGGCUCCUGGCACAUUGAAGAAGAAAACAUUCUGCCCCUCAAUAUCAGAUAAGCUAAGAAGCACUGCUUCAUGGAAUUUACAUAAAAUAUGACAUCACAGGUUGUUAUCCAAUAACAUUUGAAAAGUUGUGUUGUCAAAUAUGAAUUUCCAAGGGCUUUGAUUUCUCUGUUGAAGCUACUGUCUUAAUCUGAUGUCAUUCGAGACACCAGAUUAUGUCUAAAUGUCUGGUCGAAGGCUCAUUUUCUAGGCAGUAUUCCCUCCUAUUCAACCUUAUCUUGGCUGAUAAAAAAUUAUUUAUUUGAACAGGUAUUUUGAAAUGUAGUGUUUAUAGCAAGAGGAUUUUAAUAGUGUGCAGUGCUUUUUUCUUCCCUGCCUUUUUAAUAAUAAGAUCUUGUCAAUCUAGAAUGUGAUCAUCAAUCUUAAAUAUAUACACCAUUUAUUCUUACUGUAUAUACACCCAAUAUUAUCUCCUGAGGUUCAUAGUAGGAGAGGAGAAAGCAAUAAUAUAUUCAGAAAGAUGGGUCCUUUAAUCAGUGCAUUAAAUUUGUGAUCAGUAGGAUGGAAGAUGAAGAACUCUUGCUGAAGUCUUUUGGAUGGCUGACUGACAGAUCAAUGCUGAGAUCGGUAAGGA